rnacentral:rRNA from 1 species
GGUUAAGCGACUAAGCGUACACGGUGGAUGCCCUGGCAGUCAGAGGCGAUGAAGGACGUGCUAAUCUGCGAUAAGCGCCGGUAAGGUGAUAUGAACCGUUAUAACCGGCGAUUUCCGAAUGGGGAAACCCAGUGUGACUCGUCACACUAUCAUUAACUGAAUCCAUAGGUUAAUGAGGCGAACCGGGGGAACUGAAACAUCUAAGUACCCCGAGGAAAAGAAAUCAACCGAGAUUCCCCCAGUAGCGGCGAGCGAACGGGGAGGAGCCCAGAGCCUGAAUCAGCAUGUGUGUUAGUGGAAGCGUCUGGAAAGGCGCGCGAUACAGGGUGACAGCCCCGUACACAAAAGCGCAUGUGCUGUGAGCUCGAUGAGUAGGGCGGGACACGUGGUAUCCUGUCUGAAUAUGGGGGGACCAUCCUCCAAGGCUAAAUACUCCUGACUGACCGAUAGUGAACCAGUACCGUGAGGGAAAGGCGAAAAGAACCCCGGCGAGGGGAGUGAAAAAGAACCUGAAACCGUGUACGUACAAGCAGUGGGAGCCCCACCACCAAAGCAUUCUCUGGUGUUGAAGGCCCUGCAAAGCAGCAUCGCGGUGGCGGAGCGUCGUU